rnacentral:misc_RNA from 1 species
UGGUUCUGGCAUCGAUGAAGAACGCAGCGAAAUGCGAUAAGUAAUGUGAAUUGCAGAAUUCAGUGAAUCAUCGAAUCUUUGAACGCACAUUGCGCCCUUUGGUAUUCCGAGGGGCACACCUGUUCGAGCGUCAUUUAAACCAUCAAGCACCGCUUGGUAUUGGGCGAGGUCUGGCGACCCACCCGCAACCCGUUGGCGGCACCGUCCGGCUUCAAGCGUAGCAAAAUUUCGCUUCAGAGGCUCGUGGCGACGCUUGCCCGAUAAUUACCACCCAAGUUUGACCUCGGAUCAGGUGGGGAUACCCGCUGA